rnacentral:rRNA from 1 species
UACGUAGGUGGCAAGCGUUGUCCGGAUUUACUGGGCGUAAAGAGCGCGCAGGCGGUCGUUCAAGUCGCGUGUGAAAGCCCCCGGCUCAACUGGGGAGGGUCAUUCGAUACUGAUCGACUUGAAGGCAGGAGAGAGAAGUGGAAUUCCCCGGUGUAGUGGUGAAGUGCGUAGAUAUCGGGAGGAACACCAAUGGCGAAGGCAGCUCGCUGGGACGGUACUGACGCUGAGACGCGAAAGCGUGGGGAGCAAACAGG